rnacentral:lncRNA from 1 species
UUUGUAUAUGGAGGUUGGCAACAGGGGAGCCGCUUAGGCUUGUUUCAAAACGAUUUGGACUUGGGAUUUCAACUUGUCAUAAGCUGGUAUUAGAGGUAUGUUCAGCGAUAAACAAUGUCUUGAUGCCCAAGUUUCUUCAAUGGCCCGAUGAGAAGAAAAUGAAAGAAAUUAAUGAAGAAUUUGAGUUGAUAUCGGGGGUACCAAAUAUAGGAGGUUCAUUGUAUACAACUCAUGUACCAAUUAUAGCACCUAAAGUUAAUGUAGCAGCUUAUUUCAAUAGAAAGCAUACAGAAAGGAACCAGAAGCCUUCUUAUUCAAUUACAGUACAAGGAGUGGUUGAUCAAAAAGGGAUUUUCACAGAUGUUUGUAUUGGAUGGCCUGGUUCAAUGCCUGAUGAUCAAGUGUUUGAGAAGUCUGCUUUGUUCCAAAGGGGUUUGAAGGAUGUUUGGAUUGUUGGGAAUUCUGGGAAUCCUUUAAUGGAUUGGGUUUUGGUCCCUUAUACACAUCAAAAUUUGACUUGGGCUCAACAUGGUUUCAAUGAAAAAAUGGGUGUGGUUCAAAAUGUUGCUAAAGAAGCAUUUGCUAGAUUAAAAGGGAGGUGGUCUUGCUUACAAAGGAGAACUGAGGUGAAGCUUCAAGAGUUGCCAAUGGUGCUUGGAGCUUGCUGUGUUUUGCAUAAUAUUUGUGAGAUGAACAACGAAGAGAUGGACCCUGAAUUACAGUUUGAGCUAUUUGAUGAUGAGAAGAUAGCUGAAAACAACUUGAGGUCUUCUAAUGCUGUGCUUGCUAGGGAUAAUAUUGCCCAUAAUCUGUUACACCACGGUCUUGGUGGAACUAGUCUUCUGUAGUAUUUCAAUAACAUGUCAUAGUCCAUUAUGUAAAACUCAAAGCAACAAAAGUCUAAAAGCUUAUUACACAAAAGAAUUUAGGUUAUACAAUUGAUAAACCUCUCUUCAAUCUAUAGUAUGCUUAAAUAAUUGUUCUAUGGUAAUCCUGGGAAUUCGAUAGACUAAUAACAUAGUACAGAUCACCGACUNNNNNNNNNNNNNNNNNNNNNNNNNNNNNNNNNNNNNNNNNNNNNNNNNNNNNNNNNNNNNNNNNNNNNNNNNNNNNNNNNNNNNNNNNNNNNNNNNNNNNNNNNNNNNNNNNNNNNNNNNNNNNNNNNNNNNNNNNAUGGCAAAACUGCAAAGAGUGGAUCUCCGUAACCAACGGCGUCUGUUCAACACAGUUGAAACAAAGGCAAGAGUUAAAUGCAAAUCAACUUUAAUCUACUCUCCAGUAAUUAUGCAUGUGGCAUUGCCAUACAAAGGUGUUUUAGACAUUUAAACCGAAAUAAAUAUGAAAUGCACAGAUAAAAUUAUACCUCCAUCUUCGAAGAGGAUCUUUAAGACUGUUCCAGCUAUAUCAGACUGUUUUAACAAAUACAAAACACAAGCCAGUGAACACCUACUUAAUGUGUGUAUAUAUAUAUAUAUAUAAAAUAAUAACAAGUGGAGAUAAAUUGAAUUCACCUUAACAGGUAGUUCAAAACCAAAUUGAUUCAAGAAUCCUAUCACUUGUCCUUCUUUGAUCAAAUCACCCUGCAAGUAUUUAUUACUUACGAGGAUCAAGAAAAGCCAGGUGAAGAUACAAGAUCAUGAUAGUAAGAAAUCUACAACAUCAGCAUUAUCUGUAAUCAAAGAAUGUUUGAAAUGUUUUAGCUCCGAAUGCCCAAUUGACACUGAAAUAAUACCUCCUUACAGAUAGGAGGUUGCCUUUUUCCCUUGAUUGUUCUACCUCUUUGGAAUAUACCAACCUGCAGUAAAGUGAUGCAACUUAAAAACGAUGUUCAAAGAGAUAUAGGAUACAACAUAACCCUAGCUCUUCAGAAACAGCACAUACAACGGGAGAAGGUACUAGAACAUAGUUGCUAGAUCCAGAAGCCUCCAAGGCAGCUAACUUGGAUGACUGCCCAAAGGCAGAGCUUUUAAAUGGAGAAGGCUUCUCAGGAGAGGGUUUAGGUGGUGAUGGAGGUGGGGUAGCAGCAGCUGCUUCAUUCAUUGGUUCAGUUGGGAUUGAUGGGGCUGUUGUAGGUGAAAUGUUAGACAUGGGAGCUUUUGUGGCACCAACAUUCCGCUUCAGAUGCAUUUCGAAGUCCCCAAUCUGUCACCAUGAAACAGAUAACUGAUUCAACAAAUAUUGUACUUUGUGGGAAAAUGCAAUCCAUAAAACAAACUGAAAACCUGAAGAUGGCUAGCUGCACUGAGACGUAUCUUUGCCAAACUUUUCAGGUUAAUUAAUGAGACACGAAACUAAGUUUAGCAGAAGCAUGCAAGCAUCUGACAUGACAAGAGAAAAGGAAGUAACCUUCAUUUUCAGCUCCGCGACCUCAGUUUCAUCACACACCUCCAGAAUCAAUGCCUGACAGUUUAAGCAAUUAAAUGUUAACUAUCAAUCCAUGUAGAAUCCAAAGGAAGAACUUUUUGUUAGAUAAAUACGAAAGGAGUAAAAAGUAAGAGUGAACUAUUCUCAAAAAGAAGUGUGAGCAAUGACAAGCAAUAAUGAAAAAGACUCAGUUUGGAGAUUUAGUAAUCACCUCAAAUCCAUUUGGAAAAGUUGCUUUCCGUGAAGGUUUCUUCUCCAAUGAGCCUUUCUUGGUGCUCUCUGGUGGAACUGUGGCAAACAUGAUUAACACUUUUAGCAUGCAAAACAAGACAAAUGCUAAAGCUAAAGUAACUAUAUAAUAAAUUACUUUAAUAUCCAUCUUGAUUUAGGUAUUUAAAAGAAAAAAAAAUAGUUUUGCUUUUGACAAUCAGUAUAAAUCAUCAAUAAUGAAAAGCCAAGUUUGAAUAUAAGAAUAAACCCAAAUGCAAAAGUGAUUAGUUUUAGCACUGAGUCGUGAUUCAGUGGCAGCUAAACUAUAAUGAAUUAAAUUUUUGAGAAAAGAGAAUCAUGAGAUAAAAUUUUAAUCAGAAGGCAAUAUAAUGUCACCAUUUGACUUGGCUGUUGCCGUAGCUUCAGGCGUCUUUGCAGAGGAUGCUAAAACUACAGUUCGUCUUGUAGAAGAAUUGUUCUUCCCUCCAAACAUCAAGCCUGGAACACAUGAUUUUCUUGAAUUUGGCCAGCAACUAGAAGACAUAUGCAAUGUACUGGGCCUUUCAUGCGUGCAACAAGCUUGUGAAACAGCACUUACAGAAUCUAAAAUUUUAAUAACAGCACAUGAACUUUCAAUGGCCAAAAAAAGCCACAUAUGCAAAAUGCAAAUUCAUAAAAUUGCAUACAUAUUGCAACCAUACUUUGCUAAUGUGAAGAAAUCAAAAGCCUAUAUGAUAAAUGGAUGCCAACAAAGAACCAGAUAAGCCAGCAGCGACCAUGUUAUUUGUACCAAGGACAUCACACCACAGAUUAUACACAGGAGAAGAAACACAAUUUUACAUACUAUCUCAACUAAAAGACUCUAAAGAACAAGAAAUACAACAUUCCAAAUACUGAAGACGUUCAAAAUACACUUGUAGCUAUUGCUUGUCAGUUAGACAAAUACAUAGUUCACUUGGCAUCUUAAGAAGAAAUUCAGCACCCACUUUUUCUAUUUUAGUUCUUCCCACUUUCAUUGCUGAGGGAAGACAUUGACCAAUCAAGAAGCUUAAACUUUUCAUAAAAAAAACAUUUCUAUAAUAUACUUAAACUUUAAACCUCAUCGUUCAACAAUAGAAGCAAUCAAUGAAAGGAGCUAAUAUUUUUACAAGAGAAUAAGAUAGUCCCAGCAUUAUACUUCCACCUAAAUAAUGAAACCCAAAUGAAAAUUACAACAUUCCGAAAAGAACUUCCAAAACUAGCUUCCACUAAACCUCCCCUCAAAGAUUUAUUUCCUUUUUAAUUAUUAUUUGAAUAUCGGUUAUUGGAGCAAGAACCUAGCAUGAUCUCAAAAAUAAACUGUUAUAAAAACAAUAUUGUUGAUGUGCCUCGUCUAUGCCAAGAGCCCUGUGAGUUUACAAGCUCAGGCAUCAAUGGGAAAGCAUAGUACCACCUGAACUAGCUAACUCAAUUGCACCUGGCAACUUUGUAAACUCGACGGCUGUUCAGGCAUUUGGGCUACCGACAGUGUGGAGAGACAAAACUUCCGCCGAACCCUCAACAAAUAUAAUCAGUAAAAAAAACUCUAAUUUUAUUUGAAGGAAAUUAGGUUGACAUAGUUAGCUAGCUUAACAUUCUCAGCUGAUAUUCACAGCAUUAAAAGAAGUAAAUAGAAAAAAAAAUUAGAAAGAAAAAAAAAGAAGAAGCAGAUCUCCGCAGCUUUUGGAGCUAAUUUCAAAUUUCUCAGCGUCGAAAGCACUAUAAUUGACACUACAACUAAAAAUAUGACGAAAAUAAAUAAAUACAAUUACUAGAUCCAAAACUUAUAAAAGAACACUCAAAAUUAUUCAGAAAUGGAUAUGAGAGAGAGUUACAGUGAAAGGAACGGAGAGCAGCGGAGGACUCCAUUGGAAGAGAAGAGAGAGAGAGGGGGACUCGACAAUGAAGGGAAGGGGCAAAAUGGGGAAAAACUAAAUGAAAUAGAAAGAGGAUUGGUUAUUGAAGCGUUUGGUGGAAGAGUGUUAAAUUAGACACACAAAGAGAGAGAGCGCUUCGAAAUGUCCGCCGUUUUUCCUCAGUUUCUCCACCUUUUUAAACAACUGCACUCCUCUAACGUGCACCUUCGGGUUGUAAGCACCUGGUUUAUUUAAUUUUGUUUUUAUAAAUUAUAUGAUAAAUAAGUAUUUGCUUCAGUGAUUAAAUAAUAUGGUUGUGUGUUUAAGGUCUUGUGUUUAAGUUUUAUUUUUGAAAAUUUUGUUAUUUUUGUUCCUAGCCUUAUCCUUGAUUGCUUGACUUAAAUUUUACUUACAAUCAACUUAUAUUAGAAUGAGUUUAUCGGUUCAAGUGUUGAGGUGUUAGCUUGCCCUAUGGUCCUAUGUUUGAACUCCUCUGUGAGUGAAAGAUGAUAAUUUUUGCUUUCGAAUGUGUGUAUCGGUGAUGUAAUAGAGGUUCGGUGGAAUUGAAAGUCUAUAGUAGUGGAUGAGAGUUAGUAGGUCGGUUUUAGUAGGAUUUGUUAGUUAGUGUGAUAGUGAGGAGUUGGGAUUUUAUUUGAGUUUUUUUUUUAACUUUUAAUUUUUAUUCUUUCCCCAAACUCUUCUUCUUCCUGACAUUUUUUUUCUUUGUCUUUCUCUGCAAACCUUUUGCUUCUUCUUUCCUUUGAAUUUUGUUCGAAAACAUUCAUUCAAAUCGCUGAGUUUUGGUUUCGUGUUCCCUAUUUGGAUUGGUAGGUAAGUGUUCUUUAAAUUCGUGUAAUAGUGGAUUUGUUUUCGGGUGUGUUAAUGUUGUGAACUCUUGUGGUAGGUGUUAAUUAAGGGGAUCGAAAUUUGUCUUCUACUGUGUAGUUGUGGUUGGUCCGACGUAUUUGUCUCGGUAAGUAGUUGAACUUUGGAAGGAUUGUUUUCGAUUUAUAAGGCUAAUAAUUUCGAGUAUGUCGUUUGGGGUUUUGGUAAUCUGGUGAUUCAAUACGUAGAAUUGAUCGUUUGUAUGAUGUUUCUAGGUUCUAAAGGUCUCGUGGUGGUAUUUUCGUCGAAAGUGAACCAGGUGUGUAAUGAGAAACUAGAAAAACAAUGACAGGCGAAAGCCAAAAAUUAGGUCUACCGAGCCACACGGCCGUGUGUCUGGCCGUGUGGUAGGCCGUGUGUCACACACCCGUGACCGAGUCACACGACCGUGUGGUAGGCCGUGUGCAACACACAGCCGUGUCACGGGUGUGUGACACACGACCUAGGUCAUUUUGGGCGUGUAGGCCACACGGGCAAGGCCAUUUUGGGUGUGUGGGCCACAGGAGAAUGUAAGCCCAAAUUUUAUAAUUUCUCCUUAGGGUCGUACAUGUCAUCCCGGUUAACUGUGGUCCUUUCGUGGGGUUAAUAUGGGCUUAGAUAAGCCUUAAAGCAUGGAAUUGGAUAAAUUUUUUAUAUGGUAUCUAGCAUAAACAAUACCUAAAUGCAUGUAAUGUAAUGCAAAAUGUAUGACCUGCUAUGUAUAUGCAUGUCUAUUGUCUGUUAUUCGAGCAUGUUUCAUAUAAUAAUUUUGGUAUCUAGGAUUUGAUAAUUCUAUUUUAUCUGGUAUGCUAUUGUAUCUGACUAUGGGGCGGGAUAUGUGACAUGUGGAGGAAGUAUUUUGUGAGGCGAUAUCUCGCCAAUAUGUUGGCAGCACAGCUGCGAUUAUUCUGAAAAGUGUCUUAUGGAUGUUAAGUGAUGUGUAGGGCUGGGUGGGUAUUUUAUACCCCCACGUGGUGUGUUGAGAUGGUCAGAGUUGGUGUAUAGAGGAUAGGGGUAAAACUAUGCAUAUCUGUAUAUGUAUAUGAUUUUGUUUACAAUCUAAUUUUUUAAAAGGGAUUUAUGUUUGCAUAUGUUUUGCCAUGUGAUUGAAUUUAAAAUUAUAUUUCUGAUAAGUUACACACUGAGUUUCAAAACUCACUUUCUGUUUGUUUGAUCUGUUAGGCAAUCCUUAGACUUAGGAUAGUCCGUGCGACGAAAGCUCAGUGGUGACCACAUUUCCGUAUAAAUUUCAUGCCUUUAAAAUUAAUUUAAAUUUUUCUAAUUUUUUUAGAGUUUUGUAAUUUUAGAACUCUCUGGACAUUUUGGUUUAAUUUUUGAAUUUGGAUUUAAUUUGGAAUUUUUGGCACGAGGUUCGACAAAACGAUUUACGAAAACAAAUAUUUUAUGCAACCAUACGUUUUUUUUUGCGGAGACAAACUCGGUUUUCAAAAUAAAUAAAUGACUAAAAACUUUAGCUGUAAAUUAUCUGUUUUAUUGAAAGAGUAAGCAACCGACGCUUUCCUCUUAUGAGUGUAACAACAUGUUUUUUAAAAUAAGUGGCCUCUUAAAUAAAUAAAGAGGUACGAUGUUUUUAAAGAAAAAGACUAAUUUUUAACUUUUCUUCGUAACAUUUUCAGAUUCAACCAUAAUGUCUAGACCGAGUUUGGGGUGUUACAGGGGUGGUGCCCGCCUCCUACUUACAUGGUACCCAUUAAGUUUCGAUAGAUAAAAUUGAAUCAAAUCAAUAAAAAAAUAAAAUAUAUAUAAUUAAAUAAUUUUACUUAGAACCAAUAUAUAUAAGAGAGAACGUUUCAAAAUUUCCGUCGUUUUUCCUCAGUUUCUCUACCUUUUAAAACGAAUGCAUUCCUCUAACGUGCAUCGUUGGGUUGUAACGAACUGAUUUAUUUAACUUUUUUUUAUUAUGAAUUAUGUGAUAAAUAUGUAUCUACUUAAGUGAUUAAGUGACAUGGGUGUGUGUUUAAGAUUUUGGGUUUAUGUCUCAUUUGUAGAAAUUUUGCUAUUUUUGUUCCUAGCCUUAUCCUUUAUUGCUUCACUUAAAUUUUAUUUACGGUUAACUUAUAUCAGAACAAGCUUAUUGGUUCAAGUGUUAAGGUGUUAGCUUGUCUUAUGAUCCUAGUUCGAACUCCUGUGUGAGUGAAGGAUGAUAAUUUUUGCUUCUGAGUGUGUGAAUCGGUGGUGUACUAGAGGUUCGGUGGAAUUGAAAGUCUUUAGCAGUGGGUCAAUUUUAGUGGGAUUUGUUGGUUAGUGUGAUAGUGGGGAGUUGGGAUUUUAUUUGAGUUAUUUUUUUUAAUUUUUAAUUUUUAAUUUUUAAUUUUUAAUUUUUAUUCUUUUUCCCAAAGUCUUCUUCUUCGUAACUUUUUUUUCUCUGUCUUUCUCUACAAACCUUUUGCUUCUUCUUUCUUUUGAAUUUUGUUCACAAAACAUUUGUUCAAAUCUUUGCGUUUUGGUUUCGUGUUCCUUAUUCGGAUUGGUAGGUAAGUGUUCUUUAAAUUCAUGUAAUAGUGGAUUUAUUUUUGGGUGUGUUAAUGUUGUGAACUCUUGUGGUAGGUGUUAAUCAAGGGGAUCAAAAUUUGUCUUCUACUGUGUAGUUGUGGUUGGUCUAACGUAUCUGUCUCGGUAAGUAGUUGAACUCUGGAAGGAUUAUUUUCAGUUUAUAAGGCUAAUACUUUCGAGUAUUUUGUUUGGGGUUUUAGUAAUCCGAUGAUUCAAUACGUAGAAUUGAUCGUUUGUAUGAUGUUUCUAGGUUCUAGAGGUCUCGUGGUGGUAUUCGUGUCGAAAAUGAACCAGGUGUGUAAUGAGAAACUCGAAAAAUAAUGAUCGGUAAAAUCUAAAAAUUGGGUCUGUUGAGUCACACGGCCAUGUGUCGGAUUGUGUGGAAGGUCGUGUGCGACAUACAGUUAUGUGAAAGGCUGUGUGUGACACACGGCCGUGUGACGGGCGUGUGUAACACGGCCUACGCCAUUUUGGGCGUGUCGGCCACACGGGCAAGACCUUUCCAGGCGUGUGGGGCACACGAGGAUAUAAGCCCAAAUUUCAUAAUUUCUCCAUAGGGUCGUACAUGUCAUCUUGAUCGGCUGUGGUCCUUUCGUGGGGUUAGUAAGGGUUUAGAUAAGCCUUAAAGCAUGAAAUUAGAUAAACUGUUUGUAUGGUAUCUAGCAUAAGCAAUACCUAAAUGCAUGUAAUGUAAUGCAAAUUGUAUGUUUAUUAUCUAUUAUUCGAGCAUGUUUGAUAUAAUAAUUCUGGUAUCUGGGAUCUAAUAAUUUUAUUUUAUUUGGUAUGUUGUAUCUGACUAUGGGGCGGGAUAUGUGGAGGAAGUAUUCUUUGAGGCGAUAUCAUGCCAAUAUACUGGUAGUACGGCUACGAUUAUUCUGAAAAGUGCCGUAUUGACACUAUGUGGUGUGUAAGGUUGGGUGGGUGCUUUAUACCUCAUGUGGUGUGUUAGGAUGGUCGAAGUUGGUAUGUGGAGGAUGAUGGUCAGACUAUGCACAUCUGUAUCUGUAUGAUUAUGUUUAAAAUUUGAUUUUGUAAAAGGGAUUUAUGUUUUUGUUGGAUUUGUCAUGUGAUUGAAUCUAUAACUAUGUUUAUAAUGAGUUACACACUGAGUUUCAAAGCUCACUCUCUGUUUGUUUGAUCUGUUUAGGUAACCCUCAGACUUAAGAGGGUCGGUGCGACGGAAGUUUAGUCUUGACCACAUUUCCGUAUAAAUUUCAUGCUUUUAAAAUUAGUUUAAACUUUUCUGAUUUUUUUAAGAGUUAUGUAAUUUUGAGACUCUCUAUACAUUUGGGGUUUAAUUUUUAGAUUUGGAUUUGAUUUGGGGUUUCUGGCACAACGUCCGACUAAACGAUUUACAAAAACAAAUGUUUUAUGCAACCAAACAUUUUUUGCGAAGACAAACUCGGUUUUCAAAAUAUAUAAACGACUAAAAACUUUAGCAGCAAAUUAUCUAUUUUAUUGAAAGAGUAAACAACUGACGGUUUCCUCUUAUGAGUGUAACAUGUUUUUUAAAAUAAGUAGUCUCUUAAAGAAAUAAAGAGGUACGAUAUUUUUACAGGAAAAGACGAAUAUUUAACUUUUCUUCAUAACAUUUUAAGAUUCGACCAUAACGUCUAGCCCGAAUUUGGGUAUUACAGGGGUGCUGUCCGCCACCUGCUUACAUGCAUCCCUUAAGUUUUGUAUGUAACAAAUUCGGAUAAUUUAAUUAAUUCUAAUAAUCUUAUUCAAAUUUAAAAGAGAUUUAUGAAUUUCAAUUUGACAAAAAUCCUAAAUAUUCAAUCAAUUUAACCAAUAGUUAAAUAAAUACUUUUUACCCAUUUUCGGCUACUUCCCUCUAACCUUCCCCUAUCUAUAAAUCAACCUAUCCUAAGCCUAAUGACACAUCUAUCAAACUUUCCCUUUUUCACUUUAAAAAUUCUUUAAAUAGAAAAUAAUAUUCUUCUCAAUCUCACACAGCCUUCAACCGCGUUAAACUCCCAUCAAAACUAAAUCCCAGGAAAGUCAAGUCACCGUCAAAACCACCGUGUUCACACCCCCCACCCCCCACGCGCUUCCUUUACCCGCUGACCUUCCUCCUUUUAUAUGUCUUAUUUGGUUCCAUGCAUAUAUAUAUGCCUAACUCCAAUACCCUUUGUUCCCAUAUGGACAUUUCUUCUUUCUCAUUUCUUAGUCCCGAAGAUUUUUGUAGUAUUAGUACUAACCUCUGGUUCCAAGACUUUGAUAACGGGUUCAACAAAAGGCGUAAGAAGGAAGAUGAUUCCAAGGGUGGCUUUGGCAAUGGGUGUUUCAAUGAAGAAGGACCGAAGAAGAGUGGAUAUGGUGAUAUACUAGCUUCGUUGUUGUUAUUAGAAGAAGAAGCCAAGCAAGAAGAAGCAGAGUGGAUGAGUGAAUCCCAACAAGAGAAAGCUUUGUUUGAAUCCAAUCACAAAAGAAAAGUUCAAGCAAUGAAUGAGUUUUACGAUCAGCUUCAACAACAUUACUCUGAAACUGUGAAACCAUCUUGGAAAUCUGUUUCUGCUUUGGCUGCCACUGUUGCAACGACUUCAGGGAAUGACACGACAACGAAGGCGGAGGUGGCAGUGGCGGGGGGUCAACAAAGGAGGUUAUGGGUGAAAGAUCGAUCAAAGGAUUGGUGGGAUCGUUGUAACCAUCAAGAUUUCCCGGAGGAAGAGUUCCGAAAGGCGUUUCGGAUGAGUAAAUCGACGUUCGGGUUAAUAUGCAGGGAAUUAGAGCCGGUGGUGAUGAAGAAGAAUACUAUGCUGAGAGAUGCAAUACCUGUUCGACAACGAGUAGCUGUUUGUAUAUGGAGGUUGGCAACAGGGGAGCCGCUUAGGCUUGUUUCAAAACGAUUUGGACUUGGGAUUUCAACUUGUCAUAAGCUGGUAUUAGAGGUAUGUUCAGCGAUAAACAAUGUCUUGAUGCCCAAGUUUCUUCAAUGGCCCGAUGAGAAGAAAAUGAAAGAAAUUAAUGAAGAAUUUGAGUUGAGAUCGGGGGUACCAAAUAUAGGAGGUUCAUUGUAUACAACUCAUGUACCAAUUAUAGCACCUAAAGUUAAUGUAGCAGCUUAUUUCAAUAGAAAGCAUACAGAAAGGAACCAGAAGCCUUCUUAUUCAAUUACAGUACAAGGAGUGGUUGAUCAAAAAGGGAUUUUCACAGAUGUUUGUAUUGGAUGGCCUGGUUCAAUGCCUGAUGAUCA